GUCCCGUAAGUAUUAGGUAGUAUUUCUGGCUUCCAACUAGAAGGUUUCCGUAGAAAAUCGGAAACGGGAUA
rnacentral:tRNA from 1 species